AAAAAAAAAAAAAAAAAAAAACUUAGGGCACAUACCCACAUUGGCAACCCACCACUAUUGCCACGGAAGGUGACUCCCCUCCCAAUGCCUUUACCUUCUAUGCUGCUAUCUUUCUCUCUCCCAUCCUCCAUUCAUCAUGUCAUUUCUUCAAUUCCUUUUUCCAGUCCUCCAUUCAUCACGUCAUCUCUUCGAUUACCAAAGAAAUUACAAGAUCUUGCUGGGGGGGGCUGCUUCCAAUGAGCUCGAUCUCACCAAGGCUACACAAUUGUAUUGUGAGAACACCGAAAGUGACUUUAAUUUGGAUGAGGAGGAUGAUAAUAUAAUACUAUUGGCCAACCCCUUUCAUUUGUCUCCGUUGAAGGCUUGAAGCCUCCAUGAAACUAAAGGACUUUUUAUUUAUUUUUUUCAAAUCCAAAGAAAUUGGGAAUUUCUAGGGUUCGAUUUCGAAUCUUCUCUGAAACCCUAAUUUCGAUUCUCUUUGUUGAUUCCAUGGCUUCUCGUAGGCGUAUGCUUCUGAAGGUCAUCAUCCUCGGUGAUAGCGGGGAAAGAAAAAGCCUGGCUCAAAUUGUCAAUUUAUGGAGUCAUUCUUAGAUGAAGUGAGAAUGGCAAGGGAAAUGAAUAUUGGCAGGUUGCAAAGGAAACUUGUUUUCUAAAA